rnacentral:rRNA from 1 species
AACGUAGGAGGCGAGCGUUAUCCGGAUUUACUGGGUGUAAAGCGCGUGCAGGCGGUAGGCUAAGUUGGGUGUGAAAGCUCCUGGCUCAACUGGGAGAGGUCGCUCAAGACUGGCCAACUGGAGAGCAGUAAGGGAAGGUGGAAUUCCGGGUGUAGUGGUGAAAUGCGUAGAUAUCCGGAGGAACACCAGUGGCGAAAGCGGCCUUCUGGACUGCAUCUGACGCUCAGACGCGAAAGCUAGGGGAGCAAACGGG